rnacentral:lncRNA from 1 species
CUGCGCCUGUGCCGCCACGGGGUCAUUAGGGGGAGGCAGGCACAGGUGGUCUCUUGCACACCUGCCCCAGCCUGUGGUGGGGACGCUGUGGGUACUUCAGGGCGCUGGGGCUCACCUGACACAGCGGCUCUCCAAGGGGUUCCGUCCUCACCAGAAGCAGGAUGAAGCUCAGAGCACAGCAAGGAAGUGUAUUCCAUGUUUGUUUGUGGAUACGCACCAGAAGAAUAUCUUUGAGGAAAUUGCUAAUGGCCAUUACCUAUGGGGACUAGGACAGGAAGAUUCUCCUCUUCAUGCACAAAUAUGUAUCACGAAUUCAAGGAAAGCAAAGUGGCAGUGUCAUCACCCCAAGCAGAAGCCAGCCCUGGGCAGAUGGCACCUGGAGGAGGCAGCCCUCAGCCUUGGCCUGGGCCUGGAGGGGACUGUUAUCAAGGCUGCUGAUGUGCUUUUCCUGAGUUUCCUCACGUGAGCCCUGGUUCUUGCUGACUGCUGGCCCUGUCUGGGCAGUUGGAUGCAGUUGCUACUCCUACAGGAUGAGCAGGCUUCUGGAAAGGGCAGAAUCAUUCCCUUUGGAACAUUUUAUUCUCUUUCUCUUUAAGUAAAGUUCUAGUUCCUCCUACACCCUGUGUGACAACGGCUUUCUUAACAGUUUUAGGUGUCCUUGCUUCAAAAGGACAUUGUAACAGGAAACUGUUACUCCUACUGCCGAAAACUGAAUGCACGAGAUUGUCUCAUUAGAGUCGGAUUCAAUAUUCCCUGGCUACUGUAAAGGAUGCUGUGGGGCACAUGGGGUGCAGGUCUCUGCACUGUGAAGGAUGCUGCAGGGCACACAGGGCUGCAGAUCUCUCUACUAUGAAGGAUGCUGCAGGGCACAUGGGGUGCAGGUCUCUGCACUGUGAAGGAUGCUGCGGGGCACAUGGGGCUGCAGGUUUCUGCACUGUGAAGGAUGCUGCAGGGCACAUGGGGUGCAGGUGUCUCUCAGAUUCUAUUAUCAGCUUCUAUGGAUGUAGACCCAGAAGUGGAAGAGCUGUAUCACAUGGCAGUUCUAUUUUUAAUUUUUUGAGGAACAUCCAUACUGUUUUCCAUAGUGGCUGCACCAAUUUCCACUCCCACCAGCAGUGCACAGAGGUUUCCUUUUCUCCACGUCCUCAUUACCAUUAGUAUAGUAUAACCACUUGUUAUCUCUUGUCUUUUCGAUGACAGCCAUUCUAACAGGUGUGAGGUGAUAUCUCAUGUGGCCUUGAUUUGCAUUUCCCUGAUGAUGCGUGACGUUAAGCACCUUUUCAUGUACCUGUUGGCCAUUUGUAUGUCAUCUUUAGAGAAAUAUCUAUUCAGGUCCUUUGUCCAUUUUUUUUUUUAUGAGGAAGAUUGACCCUGAGCUAACAUUGGUGCCAACCUUCCUCUAUUUUUUGUGUGGGACGCCUGCCACAGCAUGGCUUGAUGAGUGUUGCGUAGGUCCACACCCAGGAUCCAAACCCAUGAAGGCUGGGCUGCUGAAGCAGAGCACGCAAACCUAACCACUGUGUCACCAGGCCAGCCCCCUUUGCUCAUUUUUAAUUGGAUUAUUUGUGGGUUUUUUGCUAUUGAGUUGUGUGAGUUCCUUGUAUAUUUUGGAUAUUAUCCUUGUAUCAGAUUUGCGCUUUGCAUAUAUUUUCCUCCAUUCCAUAGGUGGGAUGCAACAUUAAAUUAAAAGUCCUACAUUACUUUGAAAGUCACCUCAAUUGGUAAUGAAUUGGCUAGAUGCACUGCAGUGUUAAUUAGCAGUGUGGAUUAAUGCAUAUGUUUAAAAGAUAGAUGAGCGCUCCUUACAAAGAAACAAUGAAACUGCUAAAUCUGCUGCCAAAUCGUUGUGAUGUGAAAAACCUCAAGGAGCGCUGCAGAGACCAGCACCUUAUGAUGACAGUAAAAAUAUUUGCCAAGUACAGUUUGUCAGCAUCUGAAAAAAGGCUGUGAGUACAGGAGUGGAAAUGGCUUAAUUGAGGCUUUAUUUUGGAGGAGAAAAAUUGGCCGCGAUGGAAUUGCUACAAUCUGUCACGGGAUUGG